rnacentral:rRNA from 1 species
AUUGAACGCUGGCGGCAGGCCUAACACAUGCAAGUCGAGCGAGCGGCGGAAGGGUGAGUAAUGUAUGGGGACUGCCCGAUAGAGGGGGGUAACUACUGGAAAAGGUAGCUAAUAACGCCUACUAUCGGGUAAUCCAUAUGGGGUUAGAUAGUAGGUGAGGUAAUGGCUCACCGAGGCGACGAUCCCUAGCUGGUCUGAGAGGAUGAUCAGCCACACUGGGACUGAGACACGGCCCAGACUCCUACGGAGGCAGCAGUGGGGAAUAUUGCACAAUGGGCGCAAGCCUGAUGCAGUCAUGCCGCGUGUAUGAAGAAGGCCCUAGGGUUGUAAAGUACUUUCAGUCGGGAGGCGUUACCGACAGAAGAAGCACCGGCUAACUCCGUGCCAGCAGCCGCGGUAAUAC